rnacentral:lncRNA from 1 species
GGGCUCUGGAGACAAGGGAGUAGGCGGUGGUGCGCCAGGGGCGGGCUCCCCCAGCCUGGCCACCAAUCCAGGGUCCCGCCGGGGAUGCGAGGGGCGGGGCUGACGUGGGGCGCCAAGGCUUAAACGUGACGGGCAGGAGGGCGUAAGGAGGAGUCCGGAGCAGGGAGCGGAGAGUGACAGGCGACGCUGUCCAAUAACAGGAGGGGUUGGGCUGCUUGAGCCAAUAGAAAGUCCGUAAGGCGGGACGAGGACUGCAGCAAGUUCGGUUGCGCGGAGACCGCAGCUGUUCCCUGUCAGUGGAGGCAGCGGCUGUAGAGGCGGUGGCGACGACUUGCGGCGGCAGCGAGGAGGUAGCACCUGCCUUCCGAGAGCUGACAGAACGCUGAGGGCAGGCCAGCUGCUACCCCCGGUUCACAGCCAGGUGCCCUGGGAACUGUGUGGCUCGGGGACAACUGCCCAGAGCUCAGGUCCAGUGCUCAGCAUGAGGACUCCUUUGUUUGGGGAUUUUUCUCGGGUGACCCCUCCGGAGCCAGAAGCCGUUUUCCUCUCCGAGAUGUUCCAUCGCCCUUGCUUGUCCCAGGUCUUGGGCCAGCAGUGGCCGUCUUCCACUCUGGGAGCCAGAGAAGCAGGAGGGGGGCUGGGAUGCCAAGGCCGCUCGCGUACGUUUCCACCAGCUGUAUGUGGAAUGGGGCCAGACUCCACAUGUGGCAGCUCCUCUCCUGACCGACAUCCGUCCCCGCCUGAGGCCUCGGGAAAAUUCCAUGAUGUGGCUGUGCUGAGUCAUGCUUAG